GUUCCUGGUUCCGUCCUUGUACAUAAUAUUGUACAGCAUUCAACCUACAGAAAGAAAAAAGGAAAAACUUUUAAAACUAAUGUGAAUCUCCUGAUAAAUAAGCACUUUCAACCAAAAUGUUCCUUCAUCAUAAUUCCCAGUACUAGUAUUACUGUUCAUUAUCUUCAGCUUCAGAAUAACUUUCAAACAUAUAAAUGGGGAAAAAAAUCUAAAGCAUAUUCUAGUUGUAACAUUCCUUGACUAUUCUUAAGAAAUACCACCGCUUUACUCCCAAACACUGACAUAAAUAAGCAUACUAAUCAAAAUGAAAAGAAAAGCCAAUGAUUUCUGAAAAUAAUAUAUAAUAAAGCAAAUAAAAACACUUAUUAAACUUUGUUCAAAAAUAAAACAUAAAACACCUUAGAAUUAUAUACUGUAGGCUCAAACAGAAAGCUGCAUGGAGCUAAGUACAAGUUUUGUGUUUAUACACUACAAAUUUUUAUAGUGCUCAUCUCACAACUUCACAGGAUCUCCGGCUUUCCAAGAUGAAUCUAGAGCUAUCUGAAUUUUAGAAUUCAAGAAAAUGAUCUUCAUUUCCCCAGGAUUACUUCCUAGAGAAGUACUCAGGCAGCUACUAAGUGUUGCAUGAAUGCUUGAGGAGCUCCAGGACUUCCAAAUCUAAAUGAAUUUCUACAUCUUAAAAAGAAGAGCAAGAAUGGAAGUCUGCUCCCAUCAGGAGGAUAGUAGGGGAGCAGAGGGACAAAACUGAGACUUUAAAAACCUACACCUGACAUCCUGGGAGAGUUUGCUUUUUUUAAAUACCAAAGUCGGGGGUGUGGAUUGUCCUCUAUGAACUGAGAUGCAUCUUUAAUUCCAACCUUCUCAAUCAGUGCUCGGCUAUCUCGCAGAGACCGAAUCUCAAAGUUAAUUAGGUAAUCCUUGUUUGGAUGUUCUGGAUCCUAAAAGUAAAGAUGAAAACAAAAAAAUUCAAAUAUUU
rnacentral:lncRNA from 1 species